rnacentral:siRNA from 1 species
UAACAUGGAUGUCGUCGGAUCAAC